GUAAUGCCUAGGAAUCUGCCUAGUGGUGGGGGAUAACGUUCGGAAACGGACGCUAAUACCGCAUACGUCCUACGGGAGAAAGCGGGGGACCUUCGGGCCUCGCGCCAUUAGAUGAGCCUAGGUCGGAUUAGCUAGUUGGUGAGGUAAUGGCUCACCAGGGCGACGAUCCGUAACUGGUCUGAGAGGAUGAUCAGUCACACUGGAACUGAGACACGGUCCAGACUCCUACGGGAGGCAGCAGUGGGGAAUAUUGGACAAUGGGCGAAAGCCUGAUCCAGCCAUGCCGCGUGUGUGAAGAAGGUCUUCGGAUUGUAAAGCACUUUAAGUUGGGAGGAAGGGUAGUAACUUAAUACGUUGCUACUUUGACGUUACCGACAGAAUAAGCACCGGCUAACUUCGUGCCAGCAGCCGCGGUAAUACGAAGGGUGCAAGCGUUAAUCGGAAUUACUGGGCGUAAAGCGCGCGUAGGUGGUUCAGUAAGUUGGAAGUGGAAUCCCCGGGCUCAACCUGGGAACUGCUUUCAAAACUGCUGAGCUAGAGUACGGUAGAGGGUGGUGGAAUUUCCUGUGUAGCGGUGAAAUGCGUAGAUAUAGGAAGGAACACCAGUGGCGAAGGCGACCACCUGGACUGAUACUGACACUGAGGUGCGAAAGCGUGUGGAGCAAACAGGAUUAGAUACCCUGGUAGUCCACGCCGUAAACGAUGUCAACUAGCCGUUGGGAGUCUUGAACUCUUAGUGGCGCAGCUAACGCAUUAAGUUGACCGCCUGGGAGUACGGCCGCAAGGUUAAAACUCAAAUGAAUUGACGGGGGCCCGCACAAGUGGUGGAGCAUGUGGUUUAAUUCGAAGCAACGCGAAGAACCUUACCUGGCCUUGACAUGCUGAGAACUUUCUAGAGAUAGAUUGGUGCCUUCGGGAACUCAGACACAGGUGCUGCAUGGCUGUCGUCAGCUCGUGUCGUGAGAUGUUGGGUUAAGUCCCGUGACGAGCGC
rnacentral:rRNA from 1 species